AUUCCAGCUCCAAUAGCGUAUAUUAAUGUUGUUGCAGUUAAAAAGCUCGUAGUUGGAUUCCUGGCUCGGGGUAACCGGUCCGCCUUGCAAAAGGUGCGCACUGUGUGGCCUCGGCCAUCCUUGGGAAGAGCGGCUCUGGCAUUCGGUUGUCGGGGUCGGGAUUCCCGACGUUUACUGUGAAAAAAUCAGAGUGUUCAACGCAGGCUUACGCCUUGAAUACAUUAGCAUGGAAUAAUGAGAUAGGAUUUCGGUACUAUUUUGUUAGUUUGUGUACGGAAAUAAUGAUUAACAGGAACAGUGUUGUGGGUAUUCGUAUUUCGUUGUCAGAGGUGAAAUUCUUGGAUUUACGAAAGACGAACGACUGCGAAAGCAUUUACCAAGGAUGUUUUCAUUA
rnacentral:rRNA from 1 species